ensembl:lncRNA
CACCCAGUCAACCCCGCGCUGCGAGGGUUAGAGACAACAUCGCGUCGGUACCAGUCCCCCCGUCGGCAUGACAACCUUUAUCUCCUCUCCCACCCCACACGCUUGGACCCAGGCCCUGGGAAGGAGGGGCGACAGGAACGUGCCCUUGACCUCAGAGCCUUCCACGGAAAUCUUUUAUCCUUCCUAAAUCUGGGGGGAAAAGAAAACGGUUUCGCUUGAGCGGAUUUAGUCUUCUUUCUGCGGAGCCACAGCGCCCUCAAGUGUUCACGAAGGCUUGGCGCCACCUCUUUUGAGAAACGCGUGUAGGUGUGUCUAGUUCCCACUGAAGCCGUAAAGCACACCACACAAGAAACGCUGCUGUUCUGAGUCCAGCAUGUUGUGAGGAGGCCCAAGCGGGCCACAUGGAGGUGUCGGACCAGUCCCAACAGCCACGACGUGGCGAAGAGCCAGGCCCCAGACGUCUGGGCCAACCAAGUCAGCCCCAGCCGCCCCAGCCCUUCACAUGCGCCCCCUCCAAGCGUCCAUGGGGGUGGAGAGGCUGCCCUCCCUUCGUGGCCUGCCCCACUGUCUACUCAUAGGCUGAUGACAAGCAUGGAAUAAUGAGCAUAAGAAAAUGUUUUUCUUCAUGAUACUUCCACACCGUGUGCUUGAAGAGAAAGGUCCUUUCUUGUAUUGGAUUAAUUCCAACUUUUUUUUUAAACAGGGGAUUGGGGGGAAGUUUUUUGGCGAUUAGAAAAAAAUGCUUGUCUUCUGAGCUCUCUCCCAUAAACCUGUAUGGUUUAUGGAAUGUGUAAGAGGGGUUUUUUAAAUCUUCAAAUGUAAAAUUAAACCAGAA